rnacentral:rRNA from 1 species
GGCGGUGGUUUAACUGGUCAGAGGAAUUUGCCCCGUAAUCGAUAGUCCUCGAUUAACCUACUUAGUUUGGUUUUCAGCUUGUAUACCGCCGUCAUCAGGAUAUUUUUGGAAAACAUUUCCUAGAAACUUAAAAGUCGUAUGUCAGGUCAAGGUGCAGUUUAUAAUUAAGUGAGCGGUGAAUUACAAUAAAUUAAUUUAUACGGAUUUUUAGUGAAAUAAAAGAAUAAAGGUGGAUU